rnacentral:rRNA from 1 species
CCCUUAGACGUUCUGGGCCGCACGCGCGCUACACUGACGGAGCCAGCGAGUAUAAACCUUGGCCGAGAGGUCUGGGAAAUCUUGUGAAACUCCGUCGUGCUGGGGAUAGAGCAUUGUAAUUAUUGCUCUUCAACGAGGAAUUCCUAGUAAGCGCAAGUCAUCAGCUUGCGUUGAUUACGUCCCUGCCCUUUGUACACACCGCCCGUCGCUACUACCGAUUGAAUGGCUUAGUGAGGCUUCCGGAUUGGUUUAGAGAAGGGGGCAACUCCAUCUUGGAACCGAGAAGCUAGUCAAACUUGAUCAUUUAGAGGAAGUAAAAGUCGUAACA